AAAAAUAAAAAUAAAAUCAAGAGUGCAAGUGUGAGAAAGAGAGAAGGCACGUGGGAGAGAAGAGAAUGAAGGGGAGGAAGGAACUCGAUCUCAAACCUUAGGGAAAUCACCGCAAAAACAAGUAAGGGAGCUUUAUACUCUUGAAAUUCUGAAUUCAAUAAGAAUACUAUGAUGUAUUUAUUAUAUGUGUUUAAGUUGUUGCUCUUAUGCA
rnacentral:lncRNA from 1 species